rnacentral:lncRNA from 1 species
UUUUUUUUACUAUUAUUGCUUUCGUAUCUUUUAGUACUGUUAACGCAUUCUAAGGCUAUUCAUUCGUUUUUUUUUCUUUUCUUUAAUGCAAUGAGCCUUUAGUUUAUAUCAUAUCCGUUGCAUCCUAAUUGGUCCAAACAUCUAAGCAUUUAUUGGGGGAGAUCCUGAUUUUUUGUUGUUAGUUUAUGUUUUCUGCGUUAAAUUUUUUGUUUUCUAGGUAGUUGUUGUUUUGUUUUGUGUACAGUUUUGCAUGUUUCUCUUGAUUUCUGGACUUUGUUAGGUUGUCAGUUUGUCCUUCACUUCAUUGAUACUCUGAUUUGUUGGAUUCCUUGCUCUUCUUUGCUUGGGAAUAUGAUUAUGAUGUUUCAGAGGUUGAUUUAAUUGUGACAGAAAUACCCUGCGAGAGAAUUUGAGCCACUAGAUAUUCUUUCUUGUGUGUGAUAUGUCUCUUGAUUUCUUGCACAUAUGCCUUGGCUUGACUCUUUUUGAUAAUUCUUGAUUGAUGUGCAUGUUUGGAAGUGAUAAAGGCAGUUUUGUUCUUGAGCCUCUCUAGCCAGAUGAGCCUACCUUGCUUUGAUCCUUUGAUAGCCCCUUUGAGCCUAUGCUUUCCCCAUUUCUUUGUUUUGAAGCUUAUACACUAGCCCUAAGUGAAAAACCAUGACUACCUUAACCUUAGGGAAUUUUGGAGCUUUGAAAGGUUUUGGGAAUAAGUGUGGUCUCCUAGGAGAUUCAGAUGAAUUGGUUAGUUGGUUCCUCUUCUUGUUUUGUUUUGUAAAUAUGUUGUGUAUCUUGUCUCUUAGAGUUGUGUUCUG